rnacentral:pre_miRNA from 2 species
UCACGAAAGUGGAGGGUAAGAUCUACACUAAAUGUUUCAAAUAAGUGAGAUUCUUAUUCCUCCACUUUCCUGUC